GAGUUUGAUCAUGGCUCAGAUUGAACGCUGGCGGCAGGCCUAACACAUGCAAGUCGAACGGUAACAGGAAACAGCUUGCUGUUUCGCUGACGAGUGGCGGACGGGUGAGUAAUGUCUGGGAAACUGCCUGAUGGAGGGGGAUAACUACUGGAAACGGUAGCUAAUACCGCAUAACGUCGCAAGACCAAAGAGGGGGACCCUCGGGCCUCUUGCCAUCGGAUGUGCCCAGAUGGGAUUAGCUUGUUGGUGGGGUAACGGCUCACCAAGGCGACGAUCCCUAGCUGGUCUGAGAGGAUGACCAGCCACACUGGAACUGAGACACGGCCCAGACUCCUACGGGAGGCAGCAGUGGGGAAUAUUGCACAAUGGGCGCAAGCCUGAUGCAGCCAUGCCGCGUGUAUGAAGAAGGCCUUCGGGUUGUAAAGUACUUUCAGCGGGGAGGAAGGGAGUAAAGUUAAUACCUUUGCUCAUUGACGUUACCCGCAGAAGAAGCACCGGCUAACUCCGUGCCAGCGGCCGCGGUAAUACGGAGGGUGCAAGCGUUAAUCGGAAUUACUGGGCGUAAAGCGCACGCAGGCGGUUUGUUAAGUCAGAUGUGAAAUCCCCGGGCUCAACCUGGGAACUGCAUCUGAUACUGGCAAGCUUGAGUCUCGUAGAGGGGGGUAGAAUUCCAGGUGUAGCGGUGAAAUGCGUAGAGAUCUGGAGGAAUACCGGUGGCGAAGGCGGCCCCCUGGACGAAGACUGACGCUCAGGUGCGAAAGCGUGGGGAGCAAACAGGAUUAGAUACCCUGGUAGUCCACGCCGUAAACGAUGUCGACUUGGAGGUUGUGCCCUUGAGGCGUGGCUUCCGGAGCUAACGCGUUAAGUCGACCGCCUGGGGAGUACGGCCGCAAGGUUAAAACUCAAAUGAAUUGACGGGGGCCCGCACAAGCGGUGGGGCAUGUGGUUUAAUUCGAUGCAACGCGAAGAACCUUACCUGGUCUUGACAUCCACGGAAGUUUUCAGAGAUGAGAAUGUGCCUUCGGGAACCGUGAGACAGGUGCUGCAUGGCUGUCGUCAGCUCGUGUUGUGAAAUGUUGGGUUAAGUCCCGCAACGAGCGCAACCCUUAUCCUUUGUUGCCAGCGGUCCGGCCGGGAACUCAAAGGAGACUGCCAGUGAUAAACUGGAGGAAGGUGGGGAUGACGUCAAGUCAUCAUGGCCCUUACGACCAGGGCUACACACGUGCUACAAUGGCGCAUACAAGAGAAGCGACCUCGCGAGAGCAAGCGGACCUCAUAAAGUGCGUCGUAGUCCGGAUUGGAGUCUGCAACUCGACUCCAUGAAGUCGGAAUCGCUAGUAAUCGUGGAUCAGAAUGCCACGGUGAAUACGUUCCCGGGCCUUGUACACACCGCCCGUCACACCAUGGGAGUGGGUUGCAAAAGAAGUAGGUAGCUUAACCUUCGGGAGGGCGCUUACCACUUUGUGAUUCAUGACUGGGGUGAAGUCGUAACAAGGUA
rnacentral:rRNA from 1 species